CUGUGCACUCUUAACUACUGAACAAAUAUUUUAAAAUUUAACCAAGAAAGAUAUAUUUCGUAAUCUAUUGACGAUGAUUACCGUGAAGAAGUUUAUUGGCUUAAUUGAGCUAAAAUGGGGAAUGCUUAUCAUAGCUAUCAUCGAUAUAUUACUAGGAGUAUUGGGAUACUUUCUAUCAGGAGCAUUGGCCAAUGAUGCGAUUUUCAGAUUUGUCAUGCCACUCUGUUAUUUUAUUCAUAUUAUUGGAUGCAUACUUAUAAUUGUUUCAAUAUUUGUGCAAAAAUAUCAGCUGGUAAUAACUUAUCUGAUAACUGCAAUCAUUCGCAUGGUGUUCAUUAUAGUCGCUAUCGUAAUUCAAGUUAUAAAUGGAUACAACGACAUUCCAAUGUAUAUUGUCGAAAUAAUUAUUUUAAUUCUUGGCAUUUACUUUUGGAUCUGCGUUUACUCUUGGUUGGUUGAGCUCGGAGGUAAAUUGUGCUGCUGCUAAGCAAUGGAUAAAUCAUGACCAGAUGGCUCUAGUAUUUUACUGAAUGCAGUUAAUUCAUCUACAUUAACAGAAGAUUCCUUGCACUCAAAAAUCGCUGAACUGAGAACCGAAGUUAUGCACUAUCAAUCCAGAUAUUAACAAAAUUUAAUAGUUCACUGUAGUAGUUAAAUAAAUUAAAAGUUUAAUUGAUAUACAA